UGGUUAAGCGUCUGCCUUCGGCUCAGACAGCCAUGCUACCAAUCUUGCUCCCCAAGAGGUAUUCAGCAUGAGGUGUGCUGGAUAGGACGCUGCCUGUACUCUGGGGCAGGGGGAGCUCCUGUGUCUCCCUCUGUUUCCAGAACAAGCAUGGGAGGUGCCAAUUAUCUCCCCUUUGGAACACCAAAGGAAGACACACCACAGUGACACAAAGUGACCUGGGGAGGGAGAACCACCAGAGAAAGGAAAGGAGAAGACAUCACAGGACCUUGUUUUCUCUAAUCCACGCAAUGGAAAGAUAAACAGAGAUAAGGUAUGACAACAAUCUAUAUUUUGUAAAGUAAUAAUAUGCUUCAACUAAUCAGAGUCACGCAGCAGAGAGGGACAACAGUGCCAGCUUUAAUUAAAUUUGUUCAGCUAAUACCCAAGAGUCACCAUGACACAGUG